GCGGGUGGAGCAGCCUGGUAGCUCGUCGGGCUCAUAACCCGAGGUACGUCGGUUCAAAUC
rnacentral:tRNA from 1 species